GACAGAGGUGCCGAGCGUUAGGCGGAAUCACUGGGCUUAAAGCGUGUGUAGGUGGAUGUCUAAGUAACUUGUGAAAUCCCACGGCUUAACCGUGGAACGGCUCGGUAUACUGGAUGUCUUGAGCCAGCUAGGGGCUACCGGAACAAAUGGUGGAGCGGUGAAAUGCGUAGAUAUCAUUUGGAACGCCAAUGGUGAAAACAGGUAGCUGGGGCUGUGCUGACACUGAGACACGAAAGCCAGGGGAGCUAACGGG
rnacentral:rRNA from 1 species